AUGAUAUACAACAUCUACACUACUUGCAGCAGCUCUGUGACAAGUAGCAUGAAUCCUUCGAGGAGUGCAUCCGUGCCAUGGUUAGUUUAUUCUUUCUCGGGCCAAAAAUAUGGAAAUCUUGGAGAAGUACUAUAUCUAACCCCCAUCUCUGUUGAGGAGUAUGUAAGUUGGGUCUCAUGUGACUUAUACGAGGUUGAAGGUCUUGAUCAUCGUAUAUUCAAAGUUACAUUAGACACAUUCAUAGUUCCUGAUGGAAUAAGUUUUCUUUCUCCUGACUUUUCAUUUAUUCUAUUGUUAUACUAG
rnacentral:rRNA from 1 species